rnacentral:rRNA from 1 species
UACGAAGGGGGCUAGCGUUGUUCGGAAUCACUGGGCGUAAAGGGUGCGUAGGCGGGUCUUUAAGUCAGGGGUGAAAUCCUGGAGCUCAACUCCAGAACUGCCUUUGAUACUGAGGAUCUUGAGUUCGGGAGAGGUGAGUGGAACUGCGAGUGUAGAGGUGAAAUUCGUAGAUAUUCGCAAGAACACCAGUGGCGAAGGCGGCUCACUGGCCCGAUACUGACGCUGAGGCACGAAAGCGUGGGGAGCAAACAGGG